rnacentral:lncRNA from 1 species
CUCCGUAUGCCACAUGGGCGACCCUAGAAAAAACAAACAAACAAAAAAAAGGCAUCUCUACUUUUAUUUGAAUUAGUUCUACUGUUUUUUUCUUCUUCAUUUUACACUUUUAUCUUUAAUUUCUAUCCUUCUGUUUCUAUUGGGGUUUUGUUGAUGGUGUUUUUUACUGCUGGCUUGGGUUGAUACUUAUUUCAUUAAUUUCCAUUUGCCCUUAUUAAUAUAAGUAUUUAAAGCUAUAUACUUCCAUCUGAGGACUGAUUGUUUUCUACAUAUUCUGAAAUUUCUUAUUAAUUAAUUAAUUUAUUUAUUUGUUUAUUCUUUUGCUUUUUAGGGCCACACCAGCGGCAUAUGGAAGUUCCUAGGCUAGGGGUUGAAUCAGAGCUACAGCUUCUGGCCUACACCACAGCCACAGAAAUUCAGGAUCCAAGCCACAUCUGCAACCUAUGAGACCACUCAUGGCAGAGCCAGAUCCCCGACCCACUGAGAUCAAACUCGCAUCCUCAUGGAUACUAGUCAGAUUUGUUUCCACUGCACCACAGCAGGAACUCCCUACACAUUCUCAUAUUUCAACUUGAUUUCUUUUUAUUUUCUAACCCCAAAGCAAUUUACGGGGUUUUAAAAUUUAUUGGGAAUAACAUCUUUUGGUUUUGUAGUUUGGUUAUUAAUUUCUAGUUUGAUUUACAUUGUGAUUAGAGAAUGCUGUCUAUUCUUUUUUUCUUUUUAGGGCUGCACCUGCAGCAUAUGGAAGUUCCCAGGCUAGGGGUCGAAUCAGAGCUGUAGCUGCCAGCCUACACCACAGCCACAGCAGUGCCAGAUACGAGCUGCGUCUUUAACCUACACCACAGCUCACAGCAACGCCAGAUCCUUAACCCACUAAGCGAGGCCAGGGAUCGAACCCACAACCUCAUGGUUCCUAGUUGAAUUCAUUCCUGCUGCGCCACAGCGGGAACUCCAGGAGUAGUCUGUUUUUAGGGUAGAGUUGGAUAUAAAUUAAAUCUAUCUCAAUAAUUAUAUUAUUUUCUUCUCAAAUUAUACAUAAUUUUUGUCCACAUAACUGUGAGAGAUGAAUUAAAAAUUCCUACUACUGAUGGGCUUUUUAUUCUCUCGCCUUGUGUUUCUUCCAUUGUGCGAAUGUGGAUACUGUUUUAUGUGAUGCAGAUUUUUUUUUUUUUUUUUUUGUCUUUUAGGGCCACACCCGUGGCAUACAUAGGUUCCCUGGCUAGGGGUCAAACUGGAGCUGUAGCCGCCAGGCUACGCCAGAGCCACAGCAACUCGGGAUCCAAGCUGCGUCUGUGACCUACACCCUAACUCAUGGCAAUGCCAGAUCCUUAACCCACUGAGCAAGGCCAAAGAUCGAACCUGCAGCGUCAUGGAUGCUAGUCAGAUUUGUUAACUGCUGAGCCACAAUGGGAACUCUAACGAUACCAUUUUAAAUAAAAACAAACAUCAGGAUAGAUACACCAGUUUUUAUCAUAUGCAUGUGUGGAUAAAUAGAUAUAUAGAUAGAUAAUAUAUCAUGCUAAGAUAUCAUUGGUUUUAAGAUCCUCCACUGAUGUGGUAACAGCUUUUUUUGUUUUUUUUUUUUUAGGGCCACAACCAUGUUGUAGGGAAGUUCCCAGGCUAGGGGUCCAAUCGGAACUACAGCUGCCAGCCUACACCACAGCCACAGCCAUGCUAGAUCCAGGCCGUGUCUUCAAUCUUCACCACAGCUCAUGGCAACACUGGAUCCUUAACCUACUGAGAGAGGCCAGGGAUUGAACCCACAUCCUCAUGGAUCCUCAUUGGGUUCAUUACUGCUGAGCCACAACGGGAAGUCCAGUAACAGCUUUUUGAACAAAAGCAAAACCCUGCCCCAUGCCACGAUGCCCAUAGAGGGUGGCAGUGGCCACGCCUGAGAUGGAAUUCGAAGGCAGCUUGGUUUUCUUCCCUCUGAGCCCUGCAUCCCCGCCUGGGGCUGACAGAGUCCCUGUCCUCCUUUGGGCUGAUGGGAGGAGGCGUCUGGUGUCAUUGCCCGUGACUGCAACUGUGAGUGUCUCAGCAGGAGCCACCAGGGUGGAGAGGCUCCAGUUGUGUCACCCUGGAUGCUGGCACCCAAGUGUCCAUGCUGGGGCGGUUGGGGUGGGUGGCGGGUGGGGGCAGAUGUCAGAUCUGCCCCGCCUGGAUGCUCUUCUUUCUCCAACCUCCUUUGUGAAUCUGGGCAUGGCUGACCCUAGCUGGAAAGCAAAUCCUGACGGAUAUCACCGUAUUAAAGUCUUCUAGAAGUUUCUCAGGAGCCCAGCAUGGCCUGGUACCAACCUGCUGAGCCUCCUGUAGCGCCUGUGCACCAGCCGUCCCAGGGCAGCCCAUCCUGCCCGCAUCUCGUACUUGCUUCCCUCUGAGAUUUUGCUGCUGCUGUUUCUAACACCUGGGCUGCCAUCCUUCAUCAGUUUUUUGUUUUUAAUUUUAUGGUCGCACCCACAGCUUAUGGAAGUUCCCAAGCCAGGAAUUGAAUCUGAGCUACAGCUGUGACCUACGCUGCAGCUAUGGCAACACCGGAUCCCUUAGCCCACUGCAUUAGGCCAGGGGUGGAACCAGCACCUCCCCAGCAACCCAAAUUGANUUGAAUUUUUUUUUUUUUUUUUUUUUUUUUUGUUUUUGUUUUUUAGGGCUGCACCCUGCAGCCUAUGGAAGUUCCCAGGCUAGGGGUCACAUUGGAGCUGCAGCUGCUGGCCUUUGCCACAGCCACAGCCACACCAGAUCCAAGCUGGGUCUGUGCCCUACACCACAGCUCACAGCAACGCUGGAUCCUCCACACACUGAGCGAGGCCAGGGAUUGAACCUGCAUCCUCAUGGGUGCUAGUUGGGUUUGUCACCGAUGAGCCAGGAUAGGAGCUCGCAUUCAGCUUGUUUUUAAUACAAGAAUGUGACCUGAGUCGACUUACUGUUGAAAACUGCUGAAGGUGGAAAUAGGACAGCAGAGAUUGCUAAGGAGGUCAUUUUACCGGUCGUUUGAUCCGAGGUUUGACGGUUUAUACAUGCCCCUGGUGGGGUACUGAAGUCCCUUCAGCCUGGUGGCUUCUGUCAUCCCUUGUGGGUCACCGGCCUUGCCUCUCCGUGGCUCCUAGUUUCACCAAGUGCGUGCACCUGCUUCUUAUCUGGCCUUGGGCCUAGGAUUCUGCUCUUGUCCCUGUGUCCUGGGGUAAAAACCCAGGAUGUGGGACAUGCACGGCGCCCCUGAGCUUGGUCUUGAAGGAAGACACAUUUCCUCAUCCUGCUCCAGAGCCCCCAGGAGAAAAUCCCUGGGCUGGUGUCUUAGCCCAGAGCUCCUGGGGGCGGCUUCGCAUUGGUCCCAAACUCAUUCCCAGAAGGACAGGCCGUGCCAGUUCUUCCCAGCAUCCUGCCCACAAAGGAGAAACUGAGGCUGGACGUGCAGGCUGAGUCUUGGUUUAGUGAGUGGCUGAGGAAUGCACUCGGCCAGCACCUAUUAGGCAACUACUGUGUAGGCUCUGAGGACCUAGAGCUAAGCUGACCUGUCUAGACCAAGGAGAACCACAGUCCAGGGAGGGGUCUGGGAAAGCUUCACCAAAGGAUUGGCUUUUGGGAGCUCCUGCUGUGGCACAACAGGAUUGGCAGUGUCUUGGGAAUGCUGGUAUGUGGGUUCAAUCCCCAGCCCGGCACAGUGGGUUAUGGAUCCAGCGUUGCCACACCUGUGGCUUAGUUAUUAGUGGCUUAGUUAUUAGUCAUGCUAUUUAUUUAUUUAUUUUGUCUUUUGAGGGCUGCACCUUCGGCAUAUGGAGGGUCCCAGGCUAGGGGUCUGCCGGCCUAGGCCACAGCCGCGGCAAUGCCAGAUCCAAGCCGCAUCUCUACUGUACAUACACCACAGUUCCUGGCAACGUCGGAUCCUUAAUCUGCUGAGCGAGGCCAGGGAUCAAACCUGCAACCUCUUGGUUACUACAGAUUUGUUUCCGCUGUGCCACAACGGGAACUCCCAGUCAUGCUUUCUGCUCUCACCUCCUGGAUCAGGCUGUAACUGCACCCCACCCUUGGAGGGGGCAAACUUGGUUUUUUCUGGCAGGGCCAACAAGAGGCUACCUCUCCUCAUUCAAUCACCGACCGACUUGCUGGAUACAUUUGUUUCCUUCACUGUCUCAGUUUAAGUCCCCUCUGCUCACUGUAGAAGUGGGGGUUGUCCCUGAUCCAGCCCCUCAGGAGCUGGCCCCAGGAGCCGGGACCCAAGAGGAAAUGUUGAAGGAGGAUUUGCUUUUUUUUUUUUUUUUGGCUUUUUGGCUUUUUGCCAUUUUUUGGGCCGCUCCGCGGCAUAUGGAGGUUCCCAGGCUAGGGGUCGAAUCGGAGCUGUAGCUGCCAGUCUACACCAGAGCCACAGCAACGUGGGAUCCGAGCCGCGUCUGCGACCUAUAUCACAGCUCACGGCAACGCCGGAUCGUUAACCCACUGAGCAAGGGUAGGGAUCGAACCUGCAACCUCAUGGUUCCUAGUCAGAUUCGUUAAUCACUGCACCACGACGGGAACUCCAGGAGGAUUUGCUUUUUAUUUUGGUCUUUGGAGGGCCGCACCCGAGGCACAUGGAGGUUCCCAGGGGUCAAAUCAGAGCUGUAGCCACCAGCCCACAGGAACGUGGGAUCUGAGCUGAGUCUUUGACCUACACUACAGCUCACGGCAAUGCAGGAUCCUUAACCCACUGAGUGAGGAGGCCAGGGAUUGAACCUGUGUCUUCAUGGAUGCUAGUCAGAUUCAAUUCCGCUGAGCCACGAUGGGAACUCCAGGAUUCACUCUUGAAUGGAUUUGUUUUCCAAGACUUCUAAUGGCCCCUCUUGGAGUGCGUGUCAUUGCCUACUUUCCCCCCACAGCUGCAGGGGUCCCUCCUAGCCGUCUGUAGCCCCAGCCGGCUCACUCCUUCCCGAGGCCACUGCCCCAAAGGAAACACCCCCCCACCCCAAUCCCCGCCUUGCUCGGGCCCUGUGAUUCUGCCCUCUAGGGCCCUCUUAUCUCGCUGGAGGGGUGGGAUUGGGCCCCUCCAGCUGCCUGCGCUCCGGUUCUCACCUGCUGCAAGGAGGGGAGGGAGUGCGGGGGUGGCAGGGGCGCUGGGGGGUGUUUGGGACGGCUGGUUCAAGCACAGGUGCUCGGCUGGGCAGGCGGUUGCACCUGCCUCGGGGGCUAGGCUGCCCGUAUGGUCUGGGAUUCCGGACCAUUGGUUGGGGCUCACGGGGGCAUCCAGGGCGGGGAGAGGAAACCAGCCUAAGCGAGGGGCCAUCGGGACCCAGCAAGGACUGGGGAUGCUGAUGGCCCUCUCAGCCAGCAGGGGGCGUAUGGGCCAGGUCUUGGGGGCAGAGGAGGGCGAGCCCCAGCGAUGCUGGCCCAGAAGUGGCGGCUAAUUUUAAAUCAUUCAGUUAGAUGGCAACUGAAAGAAAAAUGCAAAACCUGAAAGUUGAGGCUUAUGUUUUAUUUGGUGACUACCGAGCACUGUAGCCUGGGAGGUAGCUCAGCGCUUCUCAGACAAGUCUGGGGAGCUGUUCCAAAGAGGGAAGCAAGGGGCAGGAUAGGCAGGAGUUUUUGCU